CCCUUGAUGGUGCAAACAGUUAAGGCACUCAGCUGCUAACUGAGAGGCUGGAGGUUCAAGUCCACUCAGGGGA
rnacentral:tRNA from 1 species